ensembl:snoRNA
AUUCUUGCACUGGGAUAGGAAAAGAAAAAAAAUCUCUGCGCUUUCUGCCUUUGGGGUGGCCCAAAUUGAAUUGGGGAAUAUUGUC